rnacentral:rRNA from 1 species
CAGCCGCCGCGGUAAUACGAAGGGGGCUAGCGUUGUUCGGAAUUACUGGGCGUAAAGGGAGCGUAGGCGGAUCGUUAAGUUGGGGGUGAAAGCCCGGGGCUCAACCUCGGAACUGCCUUCAAUACUGGCGAUCUUGAGUAUGAGAGAGGUGUGUGGAACUCCGAGUGUAGAGGUGAAAUUCGUAGAUAUUCGGAAGAACACCAGUGGCGAAGGCGACACACUGGCUCAUUACUGACGCUGAGGCUCGAAAGCGUGGGGAGCAAACAGGAUUAGAGACCCCAGUAGUCCCUGUCUCUUAUAC